rnacentral:pre_miRNA from 1 species
UUGCCGGGGAAUCACAUCAUGUGUUCACCUGCUACAUGGUGGGACUUCCCUGCAACC